CUUGAGUUCCCACAUUUCCCUUUUAAUGCUAUAUUUGCUUAAUAAUUUAUCAGUUUUGCUGGGUGAAAUGCAGAGCUGACCAUGUAAAAAUAAAAUGUACCUUCAGAGUGAGCCUGUAGGGUCUGAGAGACUCAUAUAUGGAUCUGUAUUCAGGCUGAAACCCAGACACGUACAAGAUUGGAGUUGGUAUAGAAUAUUAAGGAUGAAACUGGGAAGGAGAGAAUCUAUACAGAGUUUGUUUGAAUGCUAAUAAAUCGUGAAAUCACUGCUUCCUGGCUACUGGGAUUUGCUGCAUAAGAAGUCUACAGUUCUACAAAGAACCUGGUUCCCUACAGAACUCCUCUUUUUUUCUGGCUCUAACCAAUAGACUCUAGGAGGAAAAAGGCAGAGUAGCUGUUACGAAAAAAAUAUUGAGGAGAUUUCAGAAAUGGGAGGGAUCCCUUGUUCCGAAAUCUUACAUAUGCAUAAUUGUUAUUUUAAUAUUAAUCAAGCCUUGGUGGCAGGAUUGUGAUGGCCCUGCACACAUGACUCCUUUGCAUGCAGCUGGUUGUUGAGUUAAUUUACUUCUUUGAAGGGGCCCCUUGUACCCUGCUGCUAUUGUUUUCUGUGUGCAGCCUCCCCACUGCAUCUUGAGCUAAGCCAAUCUACCUUUUUGAAUUUAAUGUACUCUGACAUGGGUAUCGGCAAGGGGGAGGCUGCACUGACACAGGAAAUAAGAUCCACCGGAGACUCUGUGCCUUCAUUGCUCUCCCCCUGCCAGGAGGGUGUGGGAAAGUCUCCCCGGAGGUACUGAUGAAGAGGGAAAGCGCACAAGCCACCCGAGCCCGUGUGUAUGGAGAAGCUGAAUCAAGAAACAGUUCUUUCCGGGCAAACAUCUCCUGUUCUGCCUCCUCCCCACAAAUCCUCACUGUGGAGUGAAACUAAUUUAACAAGAUAUCCCCAUUUCCUCUGAACAGUGGUGAAAAUAUUCCUACAGGACUUUAUUAAGGCAGACCCCAAAGUGCUCAUCAGGCCAAUGAAAGGGAAAAAUCCUGCUGUGGCUUUUCUCUCCACAACACCACUGCAAUUAAAGAAGAAGCCAGUAUCAAAGCAGACAGGUAACUUUGUAAGCACACCAGGCAGCUGUCCAUGCCCAAGGCCACGUUUUUAAAGGAAAGAACCAUUAUUUUUCCAAUGAUACAGGAGAGAACCUGCAGGACAUAUGGGUUAAAUUGAAAAGGUCUUACAAGUACCUUAGGAGGUUAACAGUAUCACCUGAAGCCAGGUUCCUAUCUAUUAUAGAUUCAGUGUGGGUUUUUUUUUUUUUUUUUUUUUUUGGAAUUUGAUGAGGUCCAAGGGGAUGUUUGCAGAGGGAGAGUAUGAUUGGCCCUCUCACUUAGCAGCUGUUUGGCAUCCCAUGCCGAGCUUAUAAGAAGUUCUUUAUUUUCCAUGAGGUUCUGUCAUUCCUAGUGCGAUAUGUGCUCCAUGCCAGUGUGAACCAGGAUGUAAAUCAUAGCAUUUUCAUUUCAGUAAUGGGUUGAGUGGAAACAGGGCUGUGCAAAGAUGUCAGAGGGGCUCAGUUCUUAAUAAGAAACACAAACCUCCAGUUUUGCUCCAGUCAGCUGAAAAAAUAUAUUUUUCAUCAUGGCAUGGAACUUAAAGUUAUAAAACACACCUGACCUGCCUGGCAUUCAGUGGGUAGCUAAUUGACUAUAAUCUCCAGGUGUUACAAACAAAGGCUAUGAUGUGCUGCUAAUAGAGGUGUUUUACCCGAGUUCAGAAGGAAGGUGCUGGUCUGGAGGAAGGAAAGAGGAUUGCUGCCGAAAGGAAAUUUACUCAAGGUGUGAAGUUGCAAUUUAAGCUACACUGCUUAUGAGGAAUCUGGCAUGUGUCCUGGGUGAGAACACACAUAGGAGAGGAAUCUCAAUUUUGUAAGGAAUUCUUCUGAUGUAAGUGGAAGAUUCAGGAGCAACUCGAUUCAAAAUUCAUGCUAUAUCCCAGAAUCCAUCCAUCAUUGCUACUGCUUCUGGGUGCAAGUUGAAAGAAACUAUAAAAUCAAAGAGUGGGAGGGAUUUAUGGGUUGUGGACUUUGGCUGGUGCUUUGGGCUUGAAAGGUCUACAGACUUCCUUCAGAUCUUGGACUAUUGAAAUGAGGACUGAGUGAAGUCAGGAAUUACUGGAAAGGAGGUCAGGUGUCUCCUGCCUGCAUUGUUGUACUCACUGACUUUACCUGAACCUUUGCAAUUAAGAAUUGUGCAGAGUUCAGACAUCAGCUGGACCUCUUUCAGAUGCAAGCUGUUCCAUGCAUUCCAGGAAAAAUUGGUACAUCCCCAACUGCAAUUCCACAUUCUGUGAUAUACCAAAGUUCUCAAGGAGAUUUCUGCAAAUCCCUAAUGAGAUCAAGGUUUUCAUGCUGUAUCUUCAUAUAGCUUCUAUUCCUUACCAUGUCCAUGCAGACAUGAAACUCAUAUUUUUUUAUGAAUAUCCACAAGUCAGCUCGUUCAUACAGGCAUGCUAUGACUACAGCAGAGUUUUUUUGUUUAAUAAUACAGCAGUUAUCAUACCAUCCCCACCUAACAAAAAUGUAUUUUUUUAAUUAGACUUUAAAGUUAUGUAAAAUAUUCCUUGGUGCCCUAAGGUGAGUCAUCUCUCUUGAUGCCCUGGCUGUAGGGUUUUGCAUUGUCGACUGCCUUCUCUGUCUGUUCCUCUCUUCUCUCCAUUUUGUUCUCUUAUCUGCCUUCUGUUAUUUCAGAGGACACACACACACUUUUCUCUGGACCCAUUUACAGCAGUUCUUCCUUCCUCUUGCCAUCAGCCCUGGAGCUCUCAGAGUUCUGUCUUCUAUUUCCAAAUAGUUAUCAAGCUUGUUAUAUUUGUCAUCAUCUUGGGUAUUUGUUUUCCUCCAGCAAAAUGAACUCAUUCAAUGAUGAGUGCUGGAAGCAUCUUUUAAUAUGAUAUAUGUACUUUAUUCUCUUAUCGC